UGGUUUGCCUGGAAACCAUUCUUUCUUGGAACCAAACCUAGGUGAGGAGGAGCUUCAAAUGGUAGUUAUAGUACAUCCAGUUAUUUUAGAAUAGAGUUNUCUGCCUGAAGUCCUGCAGAAAGAGACCAAGCUGCCACUUGAAAAGGACAAAGAAGGGCAGAGUGACUGAGGUUUCAUCUACAUGUCUGCAAAUGGGCAUUUCAUGGCUGGCAAGGUGUCACUGCCCAUUUGUGGGCUGGAGAAGCCCACCGAUACGUCCAUGGUUCCAAAGUACCUCCUCAAGGCCACCAGCGCAUAUCUACAGGAGCCCCAUAAUGCUGGAAUUCCAGCUNUGGAAGGAAGUGUGGCUGGAAUUCUGACUGUUGAGUUGGCUUNCGGCUGGGUCACCAGGCCAAAUGCCAGCCUGCAGUCGACUCUGCAGGAAGNGGUGUCCUGUUGAGAAAAGCCUAGAUGAGAUACAACAAGAGAAAGUGAUGCUUGCCUGAGAAGAUAC
rnacentral:lncRNA from 1 species